UACGAAGGGGGCUAGCGUUGCUCGGAAUCACUGGGCGUAAAGGGUGCGUAGGCGGGUCUUUAAGUCAGGGGUGAAAUCCUGGAGCUCAACUCCAGAACUGCCUUUGAUACUGAGGAUCUUGAGUACGGGAGAGGUAAGUGGAACUGCGAGUGUAGAGGUGAAAUUCGUAGAUAUUCGCAAGAACACCAGUGGCGAAGGCGGCUUACUGGUCCGGUUCUGACGCUGAGGCGCGAAAGCGUGGGGAGCAAACAGG
rnacentral:rRNA from 1 species